rnacentral:rRNA from 1 species
GACGAACGCUGGCGGCGUGCUUAACACAUGCAAGUCGAACGGAAAGGCCCUGCUUUUGUGGGGUGCUCGAGUGGCGAACGGGUGAGUAACACGUGAGUAACCUGCCCCUGACUUUGGGAUAACUUCAGGAAACUGGGGCUAAUACCGGAUAGGAGCUCCUGCUGCAUGGUGGGGGUUGGAAAGUUUCGGCGGUUGGGGAUGGACUCGCGGCUUAUCAGCUUGUUGGUGGGGUAGUGGCUUACCAAGGCUUUGACGGGUAGCCGGCCUGAGAGGGUGACCGGCCACAUUGGGACUGAGAUACGGCCCAGACUCGUACGGGAGGCAACAGUGGAGAGUAUUGCAAAAUAAGCGGAAGCCUGAUGCAGCAACGCCGCGUGCGGGAUGACGGCCUUCGGGUUGUAAACCGCUUUCGCCUGUGCCGAAGCGUGAGUGACGGUAAUGGGUAAAGAAGCACCGGCUAACUACGUG